rnacentral:rRNA from 1 species
UGCGUAGGCGGAUAGAUAAGUCAGAGGUGAAAGCCUCCCGCUCAACGGGAGAACUGCCUUUGAUACUGUUUAUCUUGAAUGAGGUUGAGGUAGCGGAAUGUGACAUGUAGCGGUGAAAUGCAUAGAUAUGUCAUAGAACACCAAUUGCGUAGGCAGCUAGCUAGGCCUUUAUUGACGCUGAGGCACGAAAGCAUGGGGAGCGAACAGGAUUAGAUACCCUGGUAGUCC